AGCUUGCUCCCUGAUGUUAGCGGCGGACGGGUGAGUAACACGUGGGUAACCUGCCUGUAAGACUGGGAUAACUCCGGGAAACCGGGGCUAAUACCGGAUGGUUGUUUGAACCGCAUGGUUCAAACAUAAAAGGUGGCUUCGGCUACCACUUACAGAUGGACCCGCGGCGCAUUAGCUAGUUGGUGAGGUAACGGCUCACCAAGGCGACGAUGCGUAGCCGACCUGAGAGGGUGAACGGCCACACUGGGACUGAGACACGGCCCAGACUCCUACGGGAGGCAGCAGUAGGGAAUCUUCCGCAAUGGACGAAAGUCUGACGGAGCAACGCCGCGUGAGUGAUGAAGGUUUUCGGAUCGUAAAGCUCUGUUGUUAGGGAAGAACAAGUACCGUUCGAAUAGGGCGGUACCUUGACGGUACCUAACCAGAAAGCCACGGCUAACUACGUGCCAGCA
rnacentral:rRNA from 2 species